rnacentral:lncRNA from 1 species
GGUUCUGCCUUCAAUAGGAUAGAUAAUUCUACACAGAAUAUUCUCUUUUUAAGAAGAAAAAAAUCAAAAAGAGCACAAACUGUGUGUCAGAGUUUUGCAUCUAUUAAUAUUAUGCCCUCUGAGUAAAUACACAGAGUUCAGUGAAAAUUCUCAGAACAAUUAAAAACUAGAGCAAUAGUGUUCUCUGUAUCUGGGUUCCUGUUUGCCUAUAAAAUUCUAAGAGUUUUUUUCUAUUUCUCAGAUAAGUCAUGUGUAUGAGUACUUUUCCUAUACGUACAAGUGAAUUUUUUAAUGAGAAGAAGUUUGUCAGUGCUGUUUGAAAGCUUAAUUUCAUGUUAUUCGUACUGUUUUUAUUCUAACUGAAUGUGAAAUGUUUGUAUUAGUUACUGGUUGAUUUGAAAUAUUGUAUGUGGCAUUUAUACUACUAGAAGAAUGUCUAGAAUUUCUGUAAUUUUUUAAAAACUAGAUUCUUUUGUAAAUCCUGCCUGUGUAGCAUUUUGGAACAUGUAUGACAUAUAUUGAUACCUUUAACCUUCCGUAUUGUGUUUCCUUCAGCAUUUUUUUGUUGUUUAAAAAUGUUUCCCUAACAGUUAAAAGUUUAAGGCAAUUCAGUACUUAUCAGCAUUUUCGUUCAUCUGGAAAAAGCAACUCACUUUUGAAUGCAUUUUUUCCUACAUGCUUGAUUAUAUUUUGGCUUUAAUGGAUUUCCUAUUACAGAUAUUUUUUAUAAAUGUGAAUAAACUUUAUGCUAAGUAAA